AAGAAAACGGCGGCGAUGGUGAGGAUUAGGACUAAGAUAGUGACGAUUUUGUAGCAGUUGUCGGGUACCCAUGCGGAGAAGUCGAGGUUUUUGGGUUCAGACAAUCUGUUGGGUUGAACAGUGGGGAGCUUUCUGAUCUGGGGAGGUUUUGGAGACUUAGGAACUGCACGGUCUUGGACCAACAUUUGAUCUUUUCUUCUUAGAUAGAUUCUUCCAAACCUAAAUUCUUGCUAGAUCUUCACUUUUGCUCCUUAAUCUCAGCUUCACUCAUAGAUUCCCCAAUUGCAUUUCUAUUUAAUUUGCUGUUUCUGUUGUGUAAAGAAGAGGGAAAGAAACAGAAAGACAGUCACCUUGGACUCUUUUUAAUGACCUCUGCCGACAGCUACAAGCGAACACACACAACCGGGUUUCGUAGGCUUCAACGUAAAUUUUUAGCAACUGAUGAGUGGUAGUUUGGUGGGUCGUUGUCCUGUCUUCUUCUGCAAAUAUUUUAGGAUAAAAUACUAUUAUAGUAAGUAGUAUAUUAUUCAACUCAUUCCAUAUUCAUCACUUAAUUAAUUUUUUUAUUAAUUAAUUUUCAAAAUUAAAUAUUUUUGGGUUUGUUUUAAUGGAUGUAAAAGUAGUUUUAUUUUGUUCACCUAAUACUAAAUUUAGUUUUUCAAUAUUUAUAUAUUAUAUCAAUUUAAUCUUAAAUUUAAAAAUUUUAUCAAAUUUAGUCAUCAACGUUUACAAUAUUUACCAUUUUAGUCCUUAUUAUAAAAAUUGGAUAAAAUACUUAAAAAUCUUUAAAAAUUUUAAUAAGUAAAUAUAAAUAUAUGUUUAAGAUUUUUGUACACAAAAUUACUUUAAACAAUAUCUUUCACUUUGUUCUUUCUUUCAUUCAAUUGAUAAAGUUAGAAAUAUCAAAUACAAUGGCCUUGACAUGUAAUCUCUCUCCAAUUCUUGGGUUAGAAAUGAUAAAAAGAUGAAAACACUAUAGCCCAAAACUAGUAUUAUAUAUGUAGCAAAGAGUAAGACCGUCGAAGUGGGUGUCAUCAACUCAUAUAGCUAAAGAAAAAAGGGGACUAAAUUAAAAGAGAUUGAAUAAAAAAUAGCUUUAAUUUAUGGAGUUUUCACAUGUUUGAUUGAUAAGAAAAUGAGCAUGGUUGGUAAGAAAAAAAAGAGGGUAAAUGAUAAUCUAUAAUAGAACCAUAAUCUUUAAGCAAUUCAACCCAUCUACAUAGUCUCAAGUUUAGUUCCUUUUAAAUAAGCAUAUACUUUAAACUUUAAUGAUUAGUGAAGACAUGACACUUCUCACCAUAUAAGUAAUGUCUCCCAAUCAUUAAGAAAAAACUACUAUUGCAUGCUCUAAUUCAUGAGUAAGAUCAUUCUUCUCGUGUGACUUGAGUUGUUGUGAAGCAUACACAACUCCUUUGCUCUCUGGCAUUAAUACACAACCUAGACCAUUGUGAGAUGCAUCACUAAAUACUAAAAAUUCUUUACUAUACUCAGGUUAUGUCAAAACAAAUGCUUUUAUCAACAUUGCCUUUAAUCUCUCAAAACUCUACUGACACUUAUUCGACCAUUCAAACUUAACAUUUUUUUUGCAGUAACUAGGUCAAACAAGAAGCAAUUAUCGAGAAUCAUUUUAUAAACCUCCGAUAAUAUCCGGCUAAAUCAAGGAAACUUCUUACUUUAGUGACAUUUUGUAACACCCCAUAUUCAACCCGAUCAUCGAGUCUGAGCUACAAGAUGUCAUAUUCAUUGCUGGAGCAACUACAAUCACAUUUGCAAUUCAAAUAAACAAUUUAUGUGUUAUUUUAAGCUCAAUACAUAAUUGUAAAAUGUUAUAUAAUUAAAUUCAAGAUAUAAACGAACUUAUGAAAGCUCUUUUGAUAAAUCGAGGUUGGUUGAGGACUAAAAUAUAACAUUUUUAAAAUUCUCAGGUUGGUGUCGCGAUGUCGAAGGUAUCACGUCGCAACUUUGACAAAACAAUAAGUUUCAUCAAGACAUCGGAGAUCCAUGGCCACGACACCACUUUUUAUCGAUUUCACAUUUCAAUGUUGAAGGUCUGUCCUUAGGACGUCACCUACUAUUUUGCACAAUAUCCAUUAGGAACCAAUUCACAACAACUUACAAAAUGACCAAUUCUAUACCUAUUCCAUUUAAGCAAAGUACACACUUUCGAGCAUAUAAUAUGCCACAAAUCAAACAAGCAUUUCUAAUCAAAAUUUACCAAUUUGACUAUUCCAACUUAAAAUCGACUCAACAUAUGUUACCAUUUGCAUAUUUCAACCAUUUCAACCUUAUACUAAUCUCAUGAAUGCAUUUAACAAUUCAUAUGCUUGGGACUCGAAAUAACAUUACCAAUUUAAGAUUCCAAAAUGACUAUUUACAUUACAAAAGUGACUCAAUGUAACAUCCUAUACCUAGUCCGAUCACCUAACCCGAGCUAUAAGGUAUUACAGUUGUAAAGCAUUUCUAUCAUAUAAAGAUUCGACAAAAAUAACCAACAAAUCUAUUAAACAACAUUAACAACAAUAUGAUGUGAUUUGCAAUCAAAACCGAGCAUUAAUUUAACAUAUAGGACCUUUAAAAAAACUUGGAAUCAAAUUAUGACUAAACUGAAACUUUUGUAAAAAUUCAUGUAAUACCCUAAAAAAAUUUUUUACAGUAAGAUAUUAUCUUUGAUAUAAUAAAAUAAGGAAAUAAAGAAACAAAAAGGGGAAAUUUUGGAGUUAUGCCAACAUUGGAAAGUAUAUUAUGACAUAUUAGUUCAAGAAAAGAUUAAAUCGCAAAAGUGAGAAAAGUUUUGUUGCCCAAGAGUAAAUACUCAAAAAUUGAGAGGUUCAAGUGUAAAUAUGAAAAAUAUGAAGGACCAAUGGUGUAAAUAUUUUAAGGGUGGAAUGAUCUAGAAACUAAGGAAAAUGGAUGGAUUAGGACCAAGUUGAAAAAGGUGAAGAAUUUUGAGGGACUAAAUCGCAAUUUUACUAAAUUAAGUGAUGACUCAAGAAUGGAUUUUUAAAAGAUCAUAAGGGCAAAAUGGUUAAUUAAAAGAGAGAGAAAUCUAGAAGAUAAUGAUGAUGUUGGAGAUAUUUUAUAUUAAAUAAAUAAAUAAAUAAAUAUUAGUUUAUUAGUAUUUUAAUUUAAUUUUUAAAUAAUAUUUUAUUAUUUUAUUUAGUAUAUAUAUAAGAAAAGGAAGAUGAAGAAUGAGGGAACCCACUAUUUUGCCAUGCACCAACGUGAGAAAAAGAGAGAAAGAAAGAAAGUUUUGCUUUCUUUACAAUUUGGUCCUUCCACCAAAAAUUCACCAUUUUCAUAUAGAAAUCAAAAGAAUUUCCAUAUCCAUUAAGAGAGAAAGAUAACAAGGAGACUAUGGGGAGCUAGAAUAUCAAGUUAGAUUCAAGAAAUAGAAGCUGGAGGAGAGAGAAAAUCAAGUUAAAGAUUGAAAUCAAUAUGACAAGGUAAGAACAUUAAGAUUUUAAUAUAUUUUUAAGUUUGAUAUUAUUGAAAAAGUAUGGAAAUGAUGUUAAUGUAAAGUUUUCGUAUAUAUGGUCCUAUGUUCUUGAUAUGUUAGUGAAGAGAAAAUAAGAGAAAGUGAUGAGAAAUAGUGUAGCAAAAGAAAAAAAGGGUGUUAUAAACAUGAUAAUAAACAUCUUGCACUAAAACAGUUUUGGACAGCAACAGUAGGUUAACUUUGAAAAAUCACCAUAAAUUAUGGAAAUUUAAUUAGAAGAGGAAAAAAAUAUGAAAUUAAAUCUUAUUAAGUCCAGUUUCUUAUAGAAGAAGCGGUGUAAGUAAUGAAAUUGUAAAACAUGAGAUAUAAUAAAUUUUGUGAGACAAGGUCAGAAUGAAUUCGGGUUCCCCUGUUCUAACUUUGGAAAAUCAUAAAAAAUUUUAUAAAAAUAAUUAGAGGCUUAAAUUUAUAUGUUUAAAAUCAUGAAUUAUUAUAUUUUAAAUAUAAAUAAACGGUAACAUCAUCUGAAUUCUGUACAAAGAGAUAAUUAAUUUUUAGUGAAAAGGGGUCGGAACUGUCAAACAGUGAAAUAGGGGAAACUUUAAAGAAUAAAAUGUACUUAUUGGCUAAACAAAAAAUUCUGAAAAUUUUAUGGUAAUAAGAUAUGUGAGUAUAGUUUCAUAAAAAAUUUACAGAUCUCAAUUCGGAAUUCUGUAGCUUAAGAUAUAAUUAAUUUAGUGACUAUGAUUCAAGUGAACAACUUGUUAUGAGUAAAUAAGUAAAUAGUGGUAUCAUGUAUAUAUUAAGGAUGUGGAAUGGAGUGAAGGAGGAGGAAAAAUAUAUGUGAAUAUUCUGAUAAUAUGAUUUAUUGUAAAAAUAGCUAAUUUACAUGUUUUAAGUUUAGGGACUAAAUUGAAUAAAAGUAAAAUUUUUAGGGUAAUUUUGUAAAAAUGGAAAAAAUGACCAAAUUUCAAGAAAUGAAUAGUUUUAUCGUCUAAAUUAAUAAAUUUAAUGAAAUUAUUAAUUUAAAUCAAAAUCGCGUGAAAAGUCGAGGAAAAUGGAAAAUUUCCAAAACGCUCAUGUAUCAUGAUAUUUAUGCAAUUUAGCCUAGUAAAUUUACAUUACUGUAAUUCAAAUCUAAGGCUGUGUUUGAUUGGCAGAAUUGAUUUUUCAGAAAAUCAAUUACAAGUUUUCCAGUGUUUGAUUGGCGGAAAACAUUUUCCUUUUGGAAAAUCAAUUCCGCAACACGGGAAAUUGGGUUACAUUUUAGGGAAAAUGUCUUACCCUUUCAAUUUCCGUAAGACAUUUUCCCUGCUCUCCUGCCUUCUAAUACCUUCAUUCCUUCCAUCAUUUCCAGUAGAAAAAGUGCUUUUGUCGACUGAUUUUCCACUAACCCCCCACAAGAAGUCCUUCAUUCCUUCAUUUCCUCAGUUCCCAGUGGCAGAUUAUCACAGUUUUCUUUCAUUUCCUCGGUUCCCUCUUCUCCGGCUGAUUCAGUUACCGAUCCAAACGUUCUCUCCGACCACCAUUUAUUUUUGCUAUCUCCACUCCAAUUUCUGUCAGAUCUGUGGGAAAUUUCAGGUAACCUUAUUAUUAUAGACAUUAUUUGAUUUUUUAUGGUUUUAUUUUCAAUGUCGAAAAAGACUUGCUGGGUUUGUAUUUUCUGUCCCGAUAUUAGUGCAUUGUUCAGUAAUUGUAAAAGGGUUUUAGGUUUUUAUGCACAAAAAUUGGGUAAUGCAAGGUAAAUAAUAAAUAUGCAGAUCAGUAAUGUCUGAUCCUGCAAAUUUUCGUUGUUCCAAAAGGGAGUAAGACUGAUGUUGUCUUAGCUUCUAUUUUGAAAUCAUACCUAUGGAAUCAUUGUCGGUUGCUCACCUUAAUAAUAAAUAUGCAACUUAAGGAUAAAAAUUCUGAUAUAGUAUCUGAUUUUAACAAAUAGUUAUUAGAUUUAGGUGAUGGAAGAAUACCUAAUGUCGCACUAGAGGUUAAUGUAGAUUCCCCAACCCAUUACCAUACCAUAUUGAUUCUUAAUCCCUUAACGACUGAUUCAGUUUGUGUAAUAUUUGGCUACAUUUAUCUAGAACUCGAGGAAAAUUUCAAUAACACGACAUACCUAAAGGAUUAAGCUAUAUUGUCAACUACUAAUGAAGUGGUAAACAAGGUGAAUGAUUUUGUGCUUCUGAGGAUUCCAGGUGAAUCUAGAACAUAUCCCAGUUCAGAUAAAAUUUAUCCUGCAUCUGGAAAUAUUGAAGAACAAUCCCUUCUGUAUUCAUCAGAAGUCCUGAAUUCUUUGAAAUUUACUGUGUACCUAGUCAUGAGAUUUUUAGUUGAAAGUUGGGGUUCCAAUAAUGUUAUUGAGAAACAUUAACCGAAGUGUUGAUUUAUGUAAUUGUACUGAAUUGGUUGUGACAAAAUUGGGAUCUAGGUUUUUAUUAUUAUGUUGAAACUAUUACUAGUAGUAGUGUCGGGCAACAUUGUUUUAUUCCUCGAGUAGAAGUUUCACCAUCCGGUUCAAAAUGGCCUUCCAAUUUCAGAAGAAGGCAAUUUCCAAUAAAAGUUAUGUUUUCUUUUACAAAAAUUUUCUUUCCUCUACUGCAAAAGUUUUUGGAUUUUUUUGGAUAUCAUGUCUGAUCCUGCUAUAUUUUCCUUUUGAGAUUCCUUACGCGACCCUACUUGUCUGCAAACAAUUAGCAUUCAAUCAUAGAUUGCAAUUUUCUUCUGUUUGAAGCAUGAUUCACACCAUAUAAUACAAGUAUUGAUAUAUUGUAAUUUCAAUCCAUUAAAUUAAACCAUUAAUGAUUUGUGUUUGAUUUUUUAUUGCUCCUAACGGUUCUAAUUUCUUUCUAUGCUUGACCUCCAGCUGUAUAGUUCUUGCUGUCCUAUCCUCUACCUCAGCAUUCUUACUCCUGUUGGUGGCCUUGGUUGAUAUUUUCAUAAGAGGUUGGUCCAAGGUUUUAUCUUUGGAAUGUCUUCUUUCUUGGUUCUGGUCUGCCAAUGGCAUGGCAUUUGUGGUUGUUAUAUGUUUGUGGUGUGCUUGAUUUAUGAUUUUGUAUAAUAUGCAUUUGUGGUUGUUAUAAUUCGGUUCAAGUGAAUUAAGCAUGGUUGUUGGAUGUGUUUGGGUAUGGUUUAUUAUUGAUUUACAUUUUGACUGUAAUUUGUUUACGUAUUACUUGGGAAAUGACAGUGAUGAGUUGUUAUAUUUGGUUGAUGGUAGGUAAAUACAUAUGUGCGUAUGUCAUGAAUUUUGGUAAUUUUGGCAUGAUUUAUAGCAUAUGGAAUUGGCAUUGAAAAGGUCAAGCUUUAGGUUGUUAUUAUUAUGUUGUCAGUGGUAAUAUGCAUUUGUGGUGCAAUACAAGCACAGAAGCUGCUAUUAACCAACAAGACAGCCGAUAACCAAUGGGGAACAGUAUAAGUUUAUGGGAACAAGGACCUUUUCCCAAGUUUCCAUGUUAUAGAUUUAAAUAUAUGUAGUAAUAUAGAGUUUAUGCCAAGGAAUUAUGUUUUUUUCUUUAAAAUAUAAGGAAAUGUUGUUUAAAUAUUACACAUUGAUAUCAAUUUGGAAGUUUAGGUGUGAUAAAUAUUCAUUUGCUAUCUGAAUUCAAACAUGCUAAAUUUCCAUGAAAGAGAUUGUAGUGAAUAUACAGUAUGAACAGGAGGGAAAUAAUUCAUGCACCCCACCAUUUUUUUCACAGUUCAAAGACUCAGAAUUAAAGAAAAGAUGAAGUUAGAAAUGGGAAAGUCUCAAAACUUUUGCAAAUGACAGAUGAACCAAAAUCAAAUUUGUUUUUAACUUUUCAAGUAGAUUUUGAUUUAAGAAAUCAAGAAGCUAGUAAUAACUCAUCUAUAUAGGCAUCUUAGGGACUGAUAUUUUUGUUAAUUAUGUCUAAAAUUUUAACUGUAUUUAUUGUUAUCUAUAUAGCAAUUGUAGCAGUGCACUUAAACAUUAUUUAUUUUUUAUAAAAAGUAAUCAAUUUUUAAUUUAAAAAAUUAUAAAAAAUAGAAAUAAAAAUAAAUUUAUAACAUUGUCAAAUUUUUUGUUUAUAUCGAAAUAAAAAAAGAAAACACACUUGAUAGCAAUUAUAAUUUAAAAUUUUUUUAUAUUUUAAAAAAGAGGCAUCACCAUUUUUAAUAAUGUUUUUGCAAUAAAAAACAAUACUUAAAUAAUCAAAUUUCUGUUAAUGUAUAUUUUUUAUAAAUAAUAUUUUAAAUAUUAAAGUAUUGUAUUAACUAUGAUCAAUAUUUUUUAAGUCAUGGUAACUUUAUAAAUACAUGAUCAAUAUGUUAAUGUAUAUUUUUUAUAAAUACAUGGUAACUUAAAUAAUAAAAAUAUUUUUUAUAAAUACAUGAAAGAUAACCUAAUAAUAUAUAACAAAAUCUUGCACCAAUUGAAGUAUUGUAUUAACUAUGAUCAAUAUAUUUUAAGUGCUACUUUCAAAAAAUUAUUAUUGAGCAAUUAUAAUUAGCUUGAUAUGUAUGUAUGCACUUUUUUAGUCAUGGUAACUUUAUGUGAUCUUAUGAAAAUCUUGCAUCUUUUGUAGUAGUGAUCAUAUAUUUGUGUGGCAUUAUUUUGUGUAGAUGGAUCGUAAUCAACAUCAAAUGGCAAUUGUCGGAGUUGUGGCUUCAGUUUUAGCUUUUGGAGCUCUUUGGAUUAAAAAAUUAGAAACUAGGAAGGAAAUUGCUUCUCGCCCUCGUGUGAAUCGAGAUUAUGAAAGAGAAAACUAUAUUAACAGUAUUUUAUAUAGUGGUGACCAGCAUUGCAUUGAUGUGAUAAGGAUGAGACCGAUCGCCUUUUUUAAUUUAUGUGAUAUUCUUAGUACGAAUAAUUUGUUACAAUCAUCUAAAUCUGUCGAUAUUAGGGAGCAAGUAGUUAUAUUUUUACAUAUAAUUGGUCAUAAUGUAAGGUUUCGAGUGAUUGGAUCUAGAUAUUAUAGAUCAACUCAGACAGUUCACCAUUACUUUAGGGUUGUACUGAGAGCUAUUUUGAAAUUGUAUAGACUAGUUAUUAGAUUACCUGAUGAGUCAACUCAUAGUGAAAUUAUAAAUAAUCCAAGGUUUUAUCCUUAUUUUAAAGAUUGUAUUGGAGCAUUAGAUGGAACUCAUAUUCGUGCAUCCGUUCCACUUAGCAUGCAAGGAAGAUUUCGUAGCCGUAAAUGGGGGAUGACACAAAAUGUAUUGGCUGCCAUUACAUUUGAUUUGAAAUUUUCCAAUGUUCUAGCUGGUUGGGAAGGUAGUGCACAUGAUUCUCGUAUUUUAAGUGAUGCACUUUCACGCCCAAGAGGAUUAAGAAUUCCGGAAGGUAAUAUUUAUCACAAAUAGUUCUAGUAAGCUCAUAGUUUAUUAGUAUUAACUAUGUAUUGUAAAAUUGUAGGUAAAUAUUAUCUUGCUGAUGCUGGAUAUGGCAUCUGAAUUGGAUGUAUUACCCCAUAUCGUGGUGUCCGAUAUCAUUUAAAAAAGUUUGGUGCUGAAGGGCCUGAAAAUGCAAAGGAACUCUUUAAUCUUCGCCAUUCAUCAUUACGGAUCACUGUUGAACGUGUUUUUGGGAUUUUGAAAAAACGGUUUCAUGUAUUAGAUGCUGAACCAUUUUGGAAUUUUCAAACUCGAGUAGAUAUAGUUUUGGCUUGUUGUAUCAUUCAUAAUCAUAUAAUGGGAGUUGAUCCUAGUGAUUUACUUAAUCAAGGAUUAUACGAGGUGUCUGAGUCUGAUUCGAUAAUACAAACUCUCACGGAGCGAGAAGAAAGACAAGAAGCAAGAGAGAGAUGAAAUUGCACAAACUAUGUGGACUGAUUAUAUGGCUAGAAAUAUUAGGUAGAUUUAGGGCUUAGGGUUAUUGUUUCUAUGUUAUGUAUGUUUUAGUAUAAUUUUCUUUUUUUUUUUGUAAAUGUUGGUUGGAUAAUGAUAUUGAAAUUUUAGAUUGUUGGAUUUUGAUAUAUGUCUUGAAUUUGUUAGAUAUUGAUUAUGUUUUAACCUUGUUGGAUAUUGAAUUGAUUAUUAUGUUUUAAGCUUGUUGGAGAUUGAAAUUAUUGACAAUGACAAUUAUUUAAUGUAGAAUGGGUAAGGGCAACAAAGAAGGGACCUCCAAGCAAUUCAGGUGGACAAAACCGAUGGAACAUGUUUUCCUUGAAAUUCUAGCAGAGGAGGCUCGAAAAGGAAAUAAGCCUUCUAAUACUUUCAAAUCAGUUUCUAUUAAUCGAGUUGUCGACGCCAUUUCUGAAAGAUUCCAAGUCCAAUGCGAUGUGAAGCAUGUGGAAAAUCAUUUGAGGACAGUAAAAAACCAGUGGCAGAUUAUAUGCAAAAUUCGAGGUGAAAGUGGUUUUGGAUGGGAUGAUAACAUGAAAAUGAUCACAUGUGAUAGAGCGACAUAUGAUGCAACAGUGAUGGUAAUAUAUGACUAUAUAUGUUAAGUAUAUUUCAAUUGUUUUUUACUUGUUAUUCUAAUUGUGUAUAAUAUCCAACAGGCACACAAGAAGUAUGAACCAUUUCUGAAUAAAAGCAUUGAUCAUUAUGAUGAAAUAGCUUUGGUUGUUGGCAAAGAUAUGGCAACAAGGAGUUUUGCCAGAACAUUUGCUGACCUAGAUUUGGAUGAUGGUAAUGAAGAUUCAAUGCCUGUAGACUGCGACAAUGAAGAGGCUGAAGAGGUAAGAACAAAUGUAUAUUCAUCUGGCACAUCCAAACGUAAAAGAAAAAGUGGUCAAGAAAGUCUCGUUGAUGAACAAAUUAAAUUUAUGGGUGAACAACUUGGCAAAAUUGCUAAUGCUUUGGAACAAUUUACUGUCGAUAAGACAUCACAGCUUUACGAACAAGUGAUGUCGAUGGAGGAAGAAGGAUUUGAUGAUGACUUCUUGUGUUUUGUGUUUGAUUAUCUAGUGAGUCGUGAAUCAGAGGCCAAAGCUUUUUUAGUUAAAAGUAAGAAGCAUAGAAAAAUUUGGCUUCAAAAAUUUUCUCAGGGUUGAAGAUAUUGAUACUUUUAUGUGGUGUAAUAUUAUGCACUUGGACAAUGUUGUUACUAUGUGGUGUACUACUAAUUAUGUAUUUGGAUAAUAUUAUUUCUAGUACUCAUUGUGGUUUCGAAGCAAUUUAUAAUUAUUCAAUAUUAUUUCUAGUACUCAUUGUGGAUAAUAUUUUUUCAAUUUAUAACGAUCAAUAUUGUAGCUUAAUAAUUGAGUAUUAUUAUAAAUAAAUCAUUGCAAUAUAUGUAAAAACAAUUUAAAAUAUAAAAAUUUAUUAAUAUAUAUUAAUAUAUGUAAAAAACAACUUUUUCGGAAAAUAUUUUCAGGAAAUCUGUCAAACAGCAGAAAAUAUUUUACACAGAUUCAAUCAAACACCAGAAAAUAUUUUCCAGUAAAUCAUUUUACAAAAAAGUAAAAUAUUUUCCAGAAAUCAUUUUACGGCAAACAUUUUACUGCCAAUCAAACAGACCCUAAUUAUUAUUAAUUAUUGUGUUUUAAUUGAAAUGCAUGGUAAUUAAAUGGAAAUUGCUAGUGAUAUGAUUUGAAUUGUGAGCAUGAGAAAUUGCGAAUUGAAUGAAACAAAAAUGAAGCAUUGAAUUGCAUGAGUAUGUAUCGGGUCUCGUAAGCCCUAUUUAUUAUGAAUAUAAUAUUUUGAGGAUAUAUUGUGAGAAGUUAUAAAAGCAUGUUAACAAAUUUGAAAAUUAUUAAUUUAGAUGAAAUUUUAUAACUCGGUUAAAUACGUUUACAAGUGUAUGUGUUCUAAUAAUGCCUCGUGCCCUACUCCGGCGUCAAAUACGGGUAAGGGGUGUUACAAUUCAGGUAAAAAGUGUAGUCCCUAACAUGGUCGUGUUGUCUAACUGUGUAAUAGAUUUAAACCGUGUACUCUUGGGACACACGAUCGUGUCACCAGACCGUGUAACUAACUGAGGUCGUGUGGACAAACCUGCACCAAAAUUAAACAGGCCAUAUGGUCGUAUCAAUCAAUCGUGUGUGGCACAUGACUGUGUGGCAGGCCAUGUCACAGGCCAUGCCACUUAUAAUCGAGUCAAAAUAAGUAAACAGUUGCCGAGAAAAUUGACGAAUAGUGUGAUCUCCAGAAACGAUCAAAUCGACAACUCGAGCCUGACAAUCUACAAUGAAGAAAACGAAAUGAGAUAAGCUUACAUAAAACUUAAUAAGUUCGUAUAGUUAAAACAUCACAUACCUAUCAUUUUAAGCAUUAACUAGAAUUUCAUGCCUUGUUUCACAUUUCCUACCAUAUCAAACGGUUAAAAAUGUACAUAUAAUAUUAAAAAAGAUAUCAAGAUACAUGAUUCACGUAUCAAUUUACAACCAUUACAUGUAUUUAACCAUUCAUGCCAUGAACUUUAUUUCGAAACAUUCCAUUAAUCGUUUUGCUCGGAGAACAAUAGCAAAUUAACUUUGGAUACACGAGAAUAAUGCUUACACGAGUUGAUCAUCAGAAAUGCUGCUCAUACAAGCUUACAAGAACUGCAACAAAUACUAGAUUCCAACCAUCGGUAUGGUAUCCACCACCUGUACAUAGUACCUGGAAAUAUAUCCCCAGCACAAAGUGCCUAGAAUUGUAACAUUGGUACAUAGUACCUGGAAAUAUAUAUAUCACCGGCACAAAGUGUCUUGACCUGUAAUCAUCGGCACUUACUGCUUGGAACACCCUAAUGACAUGUCAUUUGUAUCCUAGCUAUUCAUUGAGUUCACACGAACUUAACUUGUAUACCUUAACCUUUUCAUAAUUAAAACCUCAUACAAUGAUCAACUUGAUCUCAAAUAUUCCAUAUAAUAACAUAAUUCAAUUCAAACAAGUAAAAUUACCAUGCUUUACAUUUCAAACCUUUGUUCCACCAUCAAACUUACCUUAAUUAACUAUGCCCAUUAUACAUACAUACUUAUACACAUAUAUGAUUAGAAUUCAAAACAUCAAUAAGUGUAACAAAUUUACUACGAAUUUACCUAAACAUACAUAAUUUACUAAAAACGGAUAAAGAAAUCACUUACAUGCAAGAGUCUUGUUGGCUGAACUUAAGAAGCUUUAACGAUGGGAUUUUGAAGCUUAUUUUCUGUGGUAACCUUAAGAAGAUGAUGAUUCUUUUCUUUUUGUUUUAUUAUUUAACAUAUAUUAUUAUUAAAUAAAUAUAUUUUAACAUAUGAAAUGCUUGAUGACAACCCAUUAACCGUCCACUUAGACUAAUUGUGGUCCAAUUACCUCUUAAGUACUUUAAAAAUCUUUAAUCAUGCAUAUUAACUAAUAAAAAAUUAAUAUCAAUUAAAAUUUUGCAAUUUUUACGAUUUAGUUAUUUUUUCUUAAUUAACUAUCUAAAUAUUAAAAUUACCUAACUAAAUUUUAAUAUGGCACUUUAGUAACCCUGUAAUUAUUAAAUAAAUGAUAAUUAUUGACUUACUGGUCGAAAUUAUGGUCCCAAAAUCAUUGUUUCUGACACCAUUAAAAACGGAUUGUUACACUCAAACUUUUGGUACAUGCCAUAUAUUGAAAUCAUAAGGGGACUAUACAAACAAUGUUGAGUCAAGAGUUGUGGAUUGGAUGCCGAAUCACUUCUCAGGUCUUCGAGAUCUGUUAAUACCUGCGCAUGGAAAUAAACAAACUGUACACUAAACGACAAAGUUAAGUGGUACUUUCAUUAUUUAAGUCAAUAAAACAAAAGCAUAUUCAUGUUAAUAUACAACCAAUACGUUUAAAUCUAAAAAUCAUCUCAUCACCACACAUCACCAUAAAAAUUAAUAUUUAACCAUUUUUUAGUCUCAAAUUACCAAAAUGCCCUUAGGAGCAAAAUUAUCAUUUUGCCCCAUCAUCUCGUAUUUUACUCGAUUAAGCUUGAAACUCUAAAAUAUGUCAAGAUGCAUUUUAAUGACCUCUCAAUAGUAUAAAAAUAAUUAAAUAUAUUACAAAUGAAUUCUCUCAUCGGAUAUAUGGAUAAUAUUAUCAUAACAGCCUCGUAUGAAAUACCAAAAAAUUUGGGCCAUUACAACUCCUUCGAGAGAAGUUUUCAAAGUGUCGUUCAUUGGUUGCUAACCAGUCUCCCAACAAUUGAAGAUAUAGUCCCUCAGGAGGUUAUCGCUUGUACUCGUGACUACAUAAUUAUUCUCAUGCCCUAUAUUAACACCUUCCCCUUGAGUCUUGUAGGUCCACCAACCAAGACACUCUCUACUUAGUGAACUAGGACCACCGGGCAGAUGCUCAUAGCACGUUGACUCUUGACAAAGUAUGAAAGACAAAACUCUUAUUAAGAGACAAUACCUUCAGUUGUUGGGGGAUUGGUCAGGUGCUCGAUAGAUGACAUUUUGUAUACUUCCCCCGAAGGAGUGGAUCCCCCUCAACGGCUCAUAACCCCUCAAACCCUUAAAUCAGAAGAAAAUACAGGAUUAAGUGCCCUUGAACCUACCUUUUCCUAAUUGUUACAAUAACUAUGAUGCCAAUUAAUUUAAGGCUUAAUCGACACUACAUAGAAAUCUUUUUUGAAAUGAUAUAAACCUACAUAUUAUUACAACUAAGUUUUUUUUUAAUAUACAAAUCUAAUUCGGCAAGUGAAAACAAUAAAAAAUCAAAUUUAUUUUUUUGUAUAAAAAUAAAAACAUCUAAUUGCUCAUGCAAUAAAAUUUGAAUGUUUAAUCCUUUAAAUUUAAAAUAUGUAAGGUAAAAGAAAAUUUUAAUUCAUUUCAAUUUUAAUAUUAAGUAAAUUGAUCUCUCUUAAAAAUUAGAACAAUUUACUCUUUAUCAUUUUGAAAGUGAGUGACUAAGGACAAUUAAUUAUAACAUCAAUAUUAUUUUAACAUCGGUAUAUAUUUUAUUGGUUUAAUAAAAAUUUAGCUAUCAAUAUUUAUAAUUUUUGUGUAAAAUAUAGAUAAAAAAAUAUAAAUAUUACGACUAAAUUUGUUAAAUUAAGACUCAAUUGUAAAAUUAAUUCUCAAUUUUAUAAACUGACCGGAUACCUGAAAUUUCAGUAAGCAUUAAAAUCAGAAAAGAAGAUUGAAAAUUAACAGAGAGCUUCUCAUGUAUAUACUGAUGGGCCCAAAAGACCAGAAUCAUUUCAUUUCUCUUCAAAUAGAAUCUGCAACCAGUAAUGAAUCAUACAAAUGUAAUGAAUCUACAGAGGAACUUACAAAAAGAACACCCCCUUUCCCCCUGAAAAAUGAUUAUGGAACAAGUAAAGAAAAGAAAGAAAAAGAAAAAAACAGUUCUUCACAUUACAAUUACAAAAGUAGUACAUGUUUCUUUCCUCCACACUACUGCCUUUCAUUCAUGUUCAAACUAACUCCGUUAAGAGAGGAUCACCUUCACCCAUUAUUCUGAUUAGCUUUAUAAAUUCCUGCUCGCUUGACACCUUCCAUGGAUGCACUGCAGGCGCGUGUGCGGAAUAAUGUGUCGAAGAAGAAUUAGCAGAUUGUGGUUCUGGCUUAUACACCAUUGUACUAAGCACUGAAUCGAAAUUCUGAGGUGAAUCCAUUGACAAAAAGAACAUGGGUAUGGAAACCUUUUGAUGGAUAUCUUGAUGUCCGACCAGAUUAACAAGAUCAACAAAGUCCGCUACAAACCGUUGAGGAAUGUAGAAUAUCUCGGAACUGCAAAUUGUGAGGCUCUGGUCACUCCUCACAACUUCUCUAUAGUUCAGUUGGAAGUGAACCGGCAUUGUACUAACUACCUUCCUUACCAGCUCCGCUUGCUUUGAGUACCAAUCAGAACUUCCUUUGGUUGAUGCAGUACUCCAAGACAUGGAUACCUAAAUGCCAUCAAAUGAAGAAGAAAAUAAGAGCAGUGACUUAGUAGUUACUCGUAAUGAACAAUUCCAUAUUUUAGGAACAUAAUAUGCCAAGCUUGUAAGACUAUUGCUAUUUGCAAAAUUAUUUUUAAACAAUCCAAAAUGUUUUCUUCAAAUAAAUGGCGAAAGAAAUCUACUGUCUAACAGCUAAGUACUAGAACAAUAUAAAUUCUUAAAAGAAAAUACAAAAGCUGAAGUACCGUAGGUAGAACAAAUAAUUAUUGGCAACAUUUUACAUAUGUAAAAGAACAAGUAAAGCACAAAUGCCAAGUGAAAAGGUAGAAUUUAGGUACCUUAUCCGUUAUCCAUAGCUUAGUCUUGUCUGCCUGUAAGAGAUUCCAGUAAUUAAGAACGGUAUCAUCUUCGAGGAAUAAAAAGCCAUCCGCACUUGAAAACCGAUCAAAUAUCUUGGGCAGAUGCCUACAAAAUAUGUUGAGAGACAAUUAGCAAACAUAAAACAGGCAUGACCUCACUUAACAGCUACGAUUUCCAUGGUUAACCAACCAUAAAUUGACCAUUUAACAACCAUUUGCUGCCUUUAGAAAGUCUUAAUUCAGAAGAAAGGAACAUACAAAACCUUAAUUGACUAAGUACCAAAUGUGAUAACCUGUCAAAAAUAUAGAAAAAAAACACACAAAAACAUGCAAUUAUUAUUGCAUUUAUAAUUCAUAAAACUCCAUUAAGAUUAUAAGGUAACUCUUCCCUUUUAGGGUUUGCUUAGUAGGGAGAAUCAAAACAAGAAGAAGACGAAUUCAUAAUCCGAGGUUAUGCUAUAAAAAAGUAAAAUAAUUAUGAAUCUUAGUGAAAAGGAUUUCACUGCACCCCUUCCUCCUGGCAAAGCUUAGCUCAAGGUAGAAGAGGGAGCCUCCGUAUGAUAUAUCAUGGGAAAGAAGAGGUAGUACUUUGAUUGAAAAACAGAGAUGCCACAACAAGAAAGGAACGGAUCCUUGACGAUGAUGAAGAAAUCAGGAAAGAGGGGCCAUUUAGAGAUUUUAAAAUGUCUGAAGGUACAGUCUGGAAUCAACAAAAACUAAUCACAAGGUAUAUCAAAUCCCGGUUUCAAAUACCAUGGUCAAUCUACUUCAUGCAAGAACUGUUUAAAGUACAACUUCGAUUCUUUAAGGCUAAUGGAAUGCCCUUUGCAAAAAGUAAGGUUAUGGAUCAAUUAUUUACAAUCAGGAGAGAGACUCAUUUAUUAUUCUAAAAUUCAACUAAAAUAAUUAUUAGAUACACAAGUUGCUUUAUACAACAAAUAUCAACCUCCACUUCCCAAUAUAUUACAAUCAUUAUUUGCUAGUCCCUCUGCAUUUACACCUCCAAUCUAUAAGAUAAUAUAAAGGAUCAAGAUUAACAUAAAUCAACGGGUUAAGAUCUUCAAUAUGAACAGGAAAAAAAAAACCAAGUAUAAAACGAAAUUAAGCAGUUUUCUAAAAGUCUUCAUCAACCUAAGCACAAUAUGAUAUCAUUUUCUUCAUCACCUCAUGCAUGUAAUAACUGCAAAUUAUUUUCUGUGCAAAGCACGUGAAAGAAGAUGAAGAGACUUUCAUUUUAGCUGUCCAUGGAUCAGUUGCUUUUACAAAAAUUUCAUAUUGGUUGCUCAUGGAUAAAGUAAUUUAUGAAAAUAUGAUGAACAGAAACUAAUAAUUGUUAUCUAUGAAUAAUAUCGCGGUUAAUGACUUAUGCCCAAAUUCAUUUUGUCCAAAGAUUUAAAGAACAAUUUAUCAGGACUUAUAUUGCAAAACCUCCCUGGCCAGGUACAGAUGAAAGAAAAUCAGGCAAAUAAUGGCUGGAAGCAAAAGCUAUCUAGUAAACCAGAAUAUCACUUUAGUCUACCAAAACAAUAUUCAAAAGCAAAGAAAGUAACAAAUUAAAAAUAUAUAUAUAUCAAUAUUCUAAGAAAGAUGCACCAUGGAAAGAUAAAUUGAUAGAUUAAAAGUAUCAUGUGAAGGGCAAGUGAUGAUUCUUGUGGCAACUUACUUGUAAAUUUGAUCUAAUUGACCUUCUUCAAUGGCAAGAUCCGAAUUCUUCUGCGCAGAAAAAAUAACCACAGUUUUAAAUAUCCGCCCGUAAAGCAGUCUCCACUCCAGGGCAGUACGUUCCACAGGACCAUUGCAGAACAUGAUUAACACGAUAUUUCCAAAAUUCUUCCUCCAUCGUAUCAAAUUCCCAAUCUCAGAGCUAACCAUCCCUGUUUCCUCCACUGCUAAAUGAACAGAUGGCAAUUUCUGAGGGUUAUAUUCUUUUCGAUCCCCAUGACCGAUAUUUGCCCUUGGUCUGUCCAGCUCCAAUGUCAUCAACCUUGGCUGCUGAUAACCUACGGCAACCAAGUCUUGAAGCCAAGCAGCAGUAAACUUGAGAUCCUGCUCCGUCCAAAACCCCUCCUCCGCCAUGGCAUAACUCAGUUCCAAUAUCUUCUCAAACAACCUAUGCUUGUUUGAUCUCCAUGACACCAAGAAUUUGAUCAAACGACCUACAUUCACAUGAAGAUCCUUCUCCUCUGAAAAGGGGUAUGCCUCAAUUCUGUCAUACCGAUGAACUGUAGGAGGAUACACAGCAACACUACCACCAAUCUCCCACAAGAGCCGCUGUCCCCAGUAACCCCUCAAUACAUCUGAAGCCAUUGUACUAACAGAAACAGGGAGCAUCAAGGCCCAAAAGGCCGAUGAAUGGUAUAACGUAUUGAACGAAUUCAAUGGCACCAUCAUACCUUGAGGAAAGGCCACUUUUGGUGCAUGCUCAUCAAACCUAAUAUCAAAGGCUUCGAAACCCGACUUCCUAGUAAAAUAAAACACGGAAUCAACAUCCGGUAACCCGUUUGAAAUCCCUUGCUGUAUGAACUGUUUCCCACCAAAGACCUCAGUGUAAAACUCCUCGUGUCCAAAGUCACCCACAUUUUCCAAUGGUAAUCCCCUAGGCCAAACUGAACGUUGGCCGAAAUGAAUAUAAGGGUUGACUACAGUCCUAUUAGGAUUAUCAUGGCUAUACUGCAAUAUAACUUCUUGCCUAGCCCCUUCCCCUACUAAUUCUACAUCAAAAUGUUUCCCUAGAUCAUUAUCAAUUACUUCCCCACGAUCAUCAGCAUCGAAGAUCUUUUUGGCACCAUGUUGAAUCGCAAACAAGUAACCGACGCUCUUUCUAACAUAAGAAUCGUAAGGCAAAUGAUCCACAACGCGAAAACCCAAAUUAGCUUGCAUAUCUAAAGACAAAAAAAUCGCACCUUUUAAGCUCCAAUCACUGGGAGUCCUGGAGUUCCCAAUUGCCAAAACUUGCCACCCUUUAAUCUUCACUAUCUUCUUCAAUGCAUCGGAGGGGUAAUUAGAAACGGAGACAACGACCCAUUGCUCUGAUCUGAAAUUAGCGUAAGGCGAAGUGCGGUCAGGAAUGGGUUUGAUGGAAUUCCAGUUGAUUUGAGGGAGAGAGAUGGAAUCCACGGCGCUCUGGGUUUCGGAUUGGAGGCAAAGGAGAAAAGCUGUGUUGGUGGAGGAGUAGAUGAAGAAAACGGCGGCGAUGGUGAGGAUUAGGACUAAGAUAGUUACGAUUCUAUAGCAGUUGUCGGGUACCCAUGCGUUGAAGUCGAGGUUUUUGGGUUCAGACAAUCUGUUGGGUUGAACAGUGGGAAGCUUUCUGAUCUGGGAAGGUUUUGGAGAUUUAGGAACUGCACGGUCUUGGACCAACAUUUGAUCUUUUCUUCUUAGAUUCUUCCAAACCUAAAUUCUUGCUAGAUCUUCACUUUUGC
rnacentral:lncRNA from 1 species